GGAGCUUUCUCUACAAACUGCAGAGGGAGACAGAUCGUUUACAUAUGCACAAGAGCAUGCAUAAAGAGCCAUAACAUGUAAAAUAGGGUGGGAAUUCACCAGUUCCUACUUUAUAUAUAACAUCAAGAAUGAAGAUGUGAAGAAUUUAAUGUUGAACCACACAAAAUCUAUAUAAAUAAGUCUCAGCAAUCCCUUCUUUUU
rnacentral:misc_RNA from 1 species